rnacentral:rRNA from 1 species
UACGUAGGGGGCAAGCGUUGUUCGGAAUUACUGGGCGUAAAGCGCGCGUAGGCGGUUUGACAAGUCAGAUGUGAAAGCCCCGGGCUCAACUUGGGAACUGCAUUUGAUACUGUCAGACUAGAGUACAGAAGAGGUGACUGGAAUUCCCAGUGUAGCGGUGAAAUGCGUAGAUAUCAGGAGGAACACCGGUGGCGAAGGCGGGUCUCUGGGCCGAUAUUGACGCUGAGGAGCGAAAGCGUGGGGAGCAAACAGG